rnacentral:rRNA from 1 species
GAUGAACGCUGGCGGCGUGCCUAAUACAUGCAAGUCGAGCGAACGGACGAGAAGCUUGCUUCUCUGAUGUUAGCGGCGGACGGGUGAGUAACACGUGGAUAACCUACCUAUAAGACUGGGAUAACUUCGGGAACCGGGGCUAAUACCGGGUAAUAUUUUUAACCGCCUUGUUCAAAAGUUGAAGACGGUCUUUCUGUCACUUAAUAAUGGAUCCGCGCUGCAUUAGCUAGUUGGUAAGGUAACGGCUUACCAAGGCAACGAUGCAUAGCCGACCUGAGAGGGUGAUCGGCCACACUGGAACUGAGACACGGUCCAGACUCCUACGGGAGGCAGCAGUAGGGAAUCUUCCGCAAUGGGCGAAAGCCUGACGGAGCAACGCCGCGUGAGUGAUGAAGGUCUUCGGAUCGUAAAACUCUGUUAUUAGGGAAGAACAUAUGUGUAAGUAACUGUGCACAUCUUGACGGUACCUAAUCAGAAAGCCACGGCUAACUACGUG